CUGCUCAAUGAUUUUUUAAAUUGCUGUGGUAUUUUGACUAUACAAAGGUAUUGAAAUAAGAUUUUAAUUGAAUGCUAAGAGAAUGGAAUUUCAGAAAACAUCUUUUUUAAAAUUAAAAAUUGAAGUUUUUUUAAUUUGUGCAGAAACAAUUAUUAAAAUUAAAGACAAGAAGACCCUAAGAAUUUAUUAAUUUUAAUAGCACAAUUUAUGUAAAAAUUAAAUUUUAGCUGGGGCGGCUAAGAAACAUUAAAAACUUUUUAAAUUCAAUACGACCCAUUAUUAAUGAUAAUAUGAUAAAUACUCUAGGGAUAACAGCGUUAUAUUUUUUGAUAGCUCAUAUUGACAAAAAAGUUUGCGACCUCGAUGUUGGAUUAGGAUACUUUUUUAAUGAAGACGUUAAAAUAAGAAGUUUGUUCAACUUUUAAAUUCCUACUUGAUCUGAGUUCAGACCGGA
rnacentral:rRNA from 1 species